AUUAAUUCGUAGAAAUUGAUGUAUUUUUUUUUUUUAAUUAUUUAAUUGCAAUCAUUCAUUUUGACAUACAGGUAUUUACUAUUCAACAAUCACUUGUAUAUUUUAGAAUUAUUAUAUGCAAUCAUUGAUUGAGUUAUGUUUUUUCAAUAAAUUGUGAUUAUUAUAAUAAUGUAUCAUCCUCAUCGUUAUCAUCAUCAUCUCAUUGUUGAAUGGGUAUUAUAAAUUUCACAAUGUUUAAUCAUUUGCCAAUUACGCUUAAGCUCAUGUUUACUGUUCCAUACUUACAAUGUAAGAAAUGAGUAUGUAUUAUCGCUGUAUAUAUAUAGAGAGAGAGAGAGAAUUCAUGUUUAUAAUAUACAUAUCAUGUAUAAAUUAUGAUAAGAAAUUGUAAUAAUGAACCUAUUGUGAUACAAGUUUAUGGUGAUGACUGUUCACUGUUUUCAUCUGUUUUUUGAUAACUAACCCAUCAUGUGAAAUAAUAUUUUUUACCAUGUUUAUUCAUUGAGAACUCAUGAAGAAUGUAUGCAUGAUUUCUUGAUAUUUUAUGGAAAACAAGUCCAAGAGAGAGAAUGUUCUGUUUAUUUCAACUUCAUGCAUGAUAGGCUUGAUUUUUUUUUUUUUGCAUUGAGGUAGUGUAACUUCUGAAGGUUUCCAUGGCGAAGAAGAAAUAGUGGUUACGCAUUUAGGUAUUUUUUAACACUUUAUUUCUUAAGCUGACAGGUAGCUCAAUCAGAAGAUAAUUUUCAUAAGAUUUGAAUUUAGAAGCAGUUUUUGCAGGCUGGAAACAUGCCAUUUACCAAUUCUAUUUUUAUUCUUUUUUGUGUUUGUUUUUAAAGUUGGUACAAUAUCUGUGCUUUUUAUAGUGCUUUAUAAGGCAUUCAUGGCAUAGAUGUAUAUGCUUCAAUCAUUUUGGCUGCAAUUUCUUCGUAGUUUAUUUUGUUUUACAAAGUCAUAAUUUUAUCACGUCUCAUUCCUUGCAUUUUAUACACAAAUGUUUGAUCAUGUAUGAUGUUGAAUGUAUUUUAAAAAGACAUAUUUUAUUGGAAGAUAUUUUGAUGGUUACAGAUUUUAGAUAUACAUAUAUGUGCAAGCUAUAGUCAAACUCUUUGUUCAAGAGAAGAUGUGUUUUCUACUGAUUUCACACAUAUAGUAUUGAAUGUAUAAAACAUGUGGGUCAUUUUUUUAAUUUGCAAGUGUCUUAAGACAAUUCAAAUCGUCCAUUUUGAUUUCAUUUAUCACCAUAAUGCCUUUAGAUCAUGUCACAGAGUAUUGCUUUCUAUAAAAUGAAUUAGAAGUAGGGCCAGCGCCCCGUCUUACAAAGAGUUACGAUUGAUCCAAUUAAUCGUAACUCUAUGGAAAUCCAUCAGUGUCAUAAUUUUUUCUACAGGAAAUGUGCAAAAUGUAUUUGUAAACAAAGGAGAACACAUCAAACUGUCAAGAAAUCAAUGAAUUUAUGGAUAUACAUUCAUAUCUAGAAAAAAAAUUGAGUAAACAUGCAUUUUACAUGUUGACUUUGCUGGCUUUCCAUAGUUGCGAUUGAUCGGAUCAAUCGCAAGUCUUUGUAAGACGGGCCCCAGAUUUCUUUUUCUUUUUCUUUUCUUCUGAGUGAAUCAAUAGAAGCAAGGCCUCUCAACCCAGUCCUGGGGCAUGUUUCACAAAUACUAACAGGGUUCUGCAGCCAAUCAGAAUCGAGCUUGCCAUGGUAGUUAUCAUCAUUGUAAGUCGUCAUGCAAGAGACCUCUGUCCUAAUAAUGGUUCGUUGAUGGUGAUUUGUCCCCUCCAGCCUUACGGGGCCCAGGGGGCCGUUUCAUAAAGCUGUUCGUAAGUUAAGAGUAACUUUAAGAAUGCCUGGUGAUCCUUUCUUAUGCGCUAAACCAUCCCCAAUGAAUAUACCAUUUACAACAAGGAAAGAUCACCAGUCAUUCUUAAAGUCGCUCUUAACCUACGAACAGCUUUAUGAAACACCCACCGGUAUCUUAAAGAAUUACAAUAUUGGUAACCUUGUUUCAUUAUUGUUAUUAAUAUGACAACCUUUGAUUCUAUGGCAUUUUGCAGAAUGUCCAAGCUACCGUUAUUGUAAGUCUCUAUGAAAUUGGCCUCCGUUUCAUAAAGACUUGUUCUAAUAACCAUACAAAUUUUUUAAAACAAAUUUGCCAUCAGCCAAUCAAAUGGGAGGAUUUCAGUAGCUUUAAACUGUUAUUGCAAAUUUGUUAUUGUUACAAGUUUUGUGAAAGGGGCCCCUGGUCACUACUCUCUUAUAAUAAUAUGCGACGUUUAUAUAGCACUCAAUACAAAUGACAUUUGUCUUUAAGCGCUGCAUACUAUUACCCCGGCUUUAGCACGGUUAUCCUGAUCGGAUGCUCAAGCAUUCAAUGAAUUCCCUUCUACCGGGUACCAUUUUACUACACCUGGGUGGAGAGUGGCAAAUGUAGAUAAAUGCCUUGCAAAAGUAUGCGAGUGCUGCGGUGGGAUUUGAACCCUGGACCCUGGAGUUCAAAGUCCGGAGACUUAUCCAAUAAGCCGCAACACCCCUACAUGUUCUUAUGUUCUGUUGUUUCCUUUUAUUUUGUUUAAAACAACAACUUUUAUUUAAUAUGAAAUGUACAUCAUGAAUGAUACAUUCAAUUGUCAUUUCAUUGAGCCAUUCUGGGAAAAGCGCUUUAUAAAAAUCGGCUAUUAUUAUUAUUGUCAUAAAAUCUCUCGGUUUAUUUUUGAAUCAGCACUCAUUCUCCCUUAUUUAUGUUACAACAUUACCAGUGGCACCGGAAUAUUCUGUGGUUGGUUUCAUGAAGCACCUGCAAUAAUGGUAACUUUGACAUAUUGUUGCAAUUAACAUGAUAACAGGGCUCAACAGCCAAUCAAAAUCAAGUAUUCCAUUGGUAGUUUCCAUAACGGCAAAGAUAUGAUUAUCAUAGGUUUUAUGAAACAUGCCCCGGAUCAGACUAAGAUUGGAAGGGGGAGGGGGGGGGGGCUUUGCCUGUUAAUGAUUUAUCCCUCUAAACCUUGCCAGAUUAGGAUCCAUUUCAUAAAGACUUGUUAUGAUAAUGAAUUCACAAUUUCUAUUAGCCAUUCAAAUUGAAGGAUUUCAAGAGCUUUAAACUGUUGUUGCAAAAUUUGUUGUUAUAACAAGUAUUAUGAAACGGGUCCCAGAUUGUUCCAGGGCCACUAAAAUUGGUAAAAGUCAAAAGACUUUUUAAAAAAACAUCUCCAGUUUUAGUGGACUUUAUGCUCUUAGCAUCCAUCUUAACAAAACACCCUUCCAUUUUGUGCAUACAGGAAGGUUUUAUAAAGAUAUUCACAAAGUUAUGCACAAUUUUAUCAACAAAUGGAAUAUGGUAAGCCAAAAGUUUGUUUCAACGAUGAUUAAUUACAUGAACUGAGUUGAAAAUGUGAAAUGUGCAUCUAUAAUCAUAUUGAUUAAUAAUGCUCACAUUAAGAUAUAUUUGCGGAGAAAAUAUAUUUUUGGGUUGUAUCUGGAAUAUAGAUAUUUGAAAUGAGGUCAUGCUUUUUAUGCCAGAUGUCACACAAUACAUGUAUAUGAGGUCAUAUAUUAGCACCUCAUACUCUAUUCAUUCAUAUAUUCAUACAUGUACGUUACUCUGUGAACAGAUGUAUGAUAUGCGCCUCGGAAACAUAAGAUUAAACAGUUAUCAGUUGCAGUAUAUUCAUAAUGUUGCAACCUUCUUUUGUUCGUUAUGAGAAUAUGUACACUAAAGUGAAAUUAUAAACCAUUGUACUGCUUAAGUAGGUUUUACGAUGAUAAAAUGGUAUUUUUAUAGUUUUCUUCCGUUGGUUCUAUAUGCACAAACAGGAUAAAAAUGUGUUUAUUUAUUCACUUCAUUGGUUUGAUGUCAUUGUUUUGACAAGCAGGGUCCCAUGUGAUGUGUUUUGGGUUCAUUCAACCUGCUCUAAAAGGACCAUCCAUUGUGAUUAAAAUCUUCGUCACAUUACCAAUGAGAGGAUCGCCUUAGUCUUAGUAAUGAUAUCCACAUUCAAAUGCUCAUAACUUUAUCAUUGUUUAUCCAUUUGGUAUUUUAUUGGUCUUAUUCAUAGAUGUUUUUCUUACAAGCUAACUUGUUUUAAGGGUUUUAUUCUCUUUUUAAUUCAAAUUUUAACAUCUCGGGCAUUUGUGUAUCCAGGUUUUAAGCGAUCAACUCUAUAAAUUUCUAGUAAGCUUUAGGUACCCCCCCCCCCCUCCCCCGGGAAAAAGGUGUGACUCCUUUUUGAAAUCAUGAAAUUGUACUGAAUUAUCAUUCCAACUCUACCACUGAUGAAUAUUGUGUUGUACCAUUUUGCAUUGAAGUUGUUCGAAUCACCAGUAUUAUGUAAUUAGGUAGAAAUCGCUUUUGACAUUCAUUAAAAUUCACAAGAAAAAUGUUUGUAAUUAUUUUUUUCAAGUCGGAUUGGUUUCAUUGAAUGUAUCCAUGCAAAGUUAAAUUAUGCACAUAUAUUUUUUUGUUUACUUCAUUCAACUACACUCAUGGAUGUUAUCAUGUCAACAGCACUAUUCUUAAAAGGCAGUUAUUAUUAUGAUGUCUGGUACUAGAUUGUUUAUGUGCGUAUUGAUUAUAUUAUAAUCAUAUUAAAUGAAGCCUGCUCUAUAUAACACUGACGUGUCCUGAUAUCAAAAGAAGUUGCAAUGUUUUUUAUGGGAGAUUUGUGGUUUAGGGGUUCCGACUCUUGCCUUUCAUUCAUAGGGUCGUGGGUUUGAACCCCAUCCAUCCAUCUGAUUUUGCUGCACUCCACCCAGGGGAAUUAAAAGGGAACCGGCAGUUCACAUUGUUCCAGUAAUGUCCAUAUAUUUGUCAAUAUCUAGUUUAAGGUUAAGUUGGUAUAUAGAUUGUGAAUUAAUAUUGUAUUAUUCUAUACAUAGACAAUCACACAAAUAGGCUGUUGUCACAGGAAUUCCAGGCCAGUUUUGCUUCUUUUUUGGGGGGGGAGAAAUUUGAAAUAUCUCGAUUACAAAUGUCACUCUAUUUCAAGAAACGUUGCAAUUCUUUUGAAAAUUGGUUCACAGCUUGGCCGUGUGGCAUGUGGCACUUUUCAGAUAUCCAGACAUAUUUUUUUUCUAACAAUCUGAAGAUGUAGUAUGGUGGUGUAUAUGUUACAAAUGCAGCAGGUUUGUGUCAGAUGUAUUUUGAUAUUUGUUAUACGUUUCAGUUCUUUAUAUAAGGAAGCAGAAAUGACUGUACAUAUUUAUUUAUAAAAUUAUAAAUGUCAAAAGGUCAA